rnacentral:rRNA from 1 species
UACAGGGGGUGCAACCGUUGCUCGGAAUCAUUGGGCGUAAAGCGCACGUAGGCGGUCUGUUAUGUCGGAUGUGAAAGCCCUUGGCUUAACUGAGGAAGUGCAUCCGAAACUGGCAGGCUAGAGUACUAAAGAGGGUCGCGGAAUUCCCGGUGUAGAGGUGAAAUUCGUAGAUAUCGGGAGGAACACCGGUGGCGAAGGCGGCGACCUGGGUAGAUACUGACGCUGAGGCGCGAAAGCUAGGGGAGCAAACAGG